ensembl:lncRNA
GCACCUCAUGAAUGCUAAUCUAAAUAUUAAUGAGCCUUGCAUUCACUUGUGCGUUGUUACACUGCAUAAUGGCGACAGGUGAGAAAAGAGCAAAAAAAAACGUAAUUUCUCAGACACUGACAUACACAUACUUGUAGGGGAGGUGGAGGCCCGGAAAACAACAUUAUUUGGUGGCCACAGCAGUGGGAUCACUAAUAAAAAGAAGCAGUGCGAGUGGCAACGUGUUGCUGCUUCUGUCAACUGCAUCAGUGGGACAGAACAGACAGUUGCAGAACUAAAGGAAAAGUGGUCCGAUCUGAAGUUAUAUAAUGGUAGAGUACUUGAUGCUAUCCUGUACUCCAUCCUGCCCUGCCAUCUCCACCUGCACUCCCUCGCACUGUUGUACAAAUAUGUCUUAGUGAAAAGAAAAAGAAGAAGAAGAAGAAGAAGAAGAAGAAGAAGAAGAAGAAGAAGAAGAAGAAGAAGAAAGUCUGGUCAGCAUUCUAUUAAGAGAGUUAACUUAAAGGUAUACUCCAUCCCAAAAUGAAAAUUUU